rnacentral:rRNA from 1 species
GACGAACGCUGGCGGCGUGCUUAACACAUGCAAGUCGAACGGAAAGGCCCUGCUUGCAGGGUACUCGAGUGGCGAACGGGUGAGUAACACGUGGGUGAUCUGCCCUGCACUUCGGGAUAAGCCUGGGAAACUGGGUCUAAUACCGGAUAGGAGCCAUUUUUAGUGUGAUGGUUGGAAAGUUUUUUCGGUGUAGGCUGAGCUCGCGGCCUAUCAGCUUGUUGGUGGGGUAAUGGCCUACCAAGGCGGCGACGGGUAGCCGGCCUGGGAGGGUGGACGGCCACACUGGGACUGAGAUACGGCCCAGACACCUACGGGAGGCAGCAGGGGGGAAGAUUGCACAAGGGGCGCAAGCCUGAUGCAGCGACGCCGCGUGGGGGAUGACGGCCUUCGGGUUGUAAACUCCUUUCGCUAGGGACGAAGCUUUUUGUGACGGUACCUAGAUAAGAAGCACCGGCUAACUACGUG